rnacentral:rRNA from 1 species
UACGUAGGGGGCGAGCGUUAUCCGGAAUUAUUGGGCGUAAAGAGUACGUAGGUGGCUGUGUAAGCGCAAGGUGAAAGACCGAGGCUUAACUUCGGUGAGCCUUGUGAACUGCAUGGCUUGAGUGCAGGAGGGGAAAGUGGAAUUCCUGGUGUAGCGGUGAAAUGCGCAGAUAUCAGGAGGAACACCGGUGGCGAAGGCGACUUUCUGGACUGUAACUGACACUGAGGUACGAAAGCGUGGGUAGCAAACA